AUUGAACGCUGGCGGCAGGCCUAACACAUGCAAGUCGAACGAGUGGCGGACGGGUGAGUAAUGUCUGGGAAACUGCCCGAUGGAGGGGGAUAACUACUGGAAACGGUAGCUAAUACCGCAUACCAUCGGAUGUGCCCAGAUGGGAUUAGCUAGUAGGUGGGGUAAAGGCUCACCUAGGCGACGAUCCCUAGCUGGUCUGAGAGGAUGACAGGCCACACUGCAACGGAGACACGGGCCAGACACAUACGGGAGGAAGCAGUGGGGAAUAUGGCACAAUGGGCGCAACCCUGAGGCAGCCAUGCCGCGUGUAUGAAGAAGGCCUUCGGGUUGUAAAGUACUUUCAGCGAGUAGGCGUUACUCGCAGAAGAAGCACCGUCUAACUCCGUGCCAGCAGCCGCGGUAAUAC
rnacentral:rRNA from 1 species